rnacentral:ncRNA from 1 species
UCAGGGCAAGUGAGCACACUUGCCCCCUGACGAGGUGAACCGUACCAGGCAAGAAAAGACGGCUCUUU